CAUGGCUCUCCCUUGCUCAAGACGCCCCAGUGCUGCCCUUGUAUUGAAUAAAACCUAAAGUCCCUAUGAGGGUGUGGCUUCAAGGCUGUACACAACUUUGCCAGACUAUCUCUCUGAUAUCAUCUCCAAACACUUUCCCCUUUAUUCUUUGUGCUUUAACCAGACCAGGCCAAGUUCAUUACCACCUCAGGGCUUUUGCACAUGCUAAUCCCGUCACCUAGGGCAUGGUUCCCCAGAUCUUCACAGGGGUCAUUCUCUCCUUCAUUCUAGUGUGUAUCAAAUGCCUUCUCUGCAAAAAGGCCCUCCCCACCACCCCUUUACUCUCUUCCCCUCCUUUGCUUUAUUCUUCCUCAUAGCACUUAUUGCUUCGAGCUUUUUUAUACAUCUGUUUGUUGAUUGUCUGUCUCCCUCAGGCAGAAUGUAAAUUCUGUGAGGCAGGGACCUGUCUGUACCCUCAGCACCUAGUGACAGUGCCUAGCACCGUAGACGAAUUCAAUGCAUCAUUGUUGAAUAAAUGUUUGAAUGUGCCAGACGCACAGUGGGAGUUGAGCAGCUGUUUACUGAAUGAAUAAAUAUAACAGGUGCCGGGGAUACAACAGUGAACAGGACAGGCAGGUUUCCUGGAUGCCCAUGGCACUCGGCAGCAGAGGCAGCCAUUAAAUACAUAAUUGCAGUAAAAUAAAAAGGGUGUAUGACACAGGAAGUUCUGGAAAGCAGCAGGGACCGCUGCUCUAACCUGGUAUAGAGUUUAACACCUCAGAUGUUCGGCCUUAAACAGCUAACCUCUCCUGGCCCUGGGAGUGGCGCUGCUGGUACUGUCAGUCGUGUGGCUUCUGCAAUGAAGAAAGGGGAAUGUAUGCAAAAUGCCUGCCGCAUAGUACAUGCUCAGUAAGUUCCAGCUACUGUUGCUGUGGUAAGAUAUUGACCUCUAUUCGACUUCAUAGGACCCCUCGGUAUCUUUCCUACUCCCUUCCUACGUCCAGGAGAAUGGUUUAUGUUCUGAAUUUGGCUCUGCCAAGUUAGAAGCCAGAAGUCUCCCUCCUGGCUUUUCUUGAAGCUCAGAUGCCAGUACAUAAAGCUGUGCUUCCCCGGGCAACCUCAUGCUCUUUGAUUAGGUAGAGAGCAGUGUGGUGAUGCAGACACGCAUGGACUCCACCUUUGAACAAAGAUGGGGCUGGAGUGUCCAGCUUUGGGGUGCAGCAUUGACUGAGGUUCGGGCACUCUCGGUCUAGCACCAUCACCGUGAGCAGUAGCGGCGGUGGUGUGAUCACCUUGUCUACAAAGGGUUUGGAGUGUUAUUUCCAGUUGAACAGCCCUAACCCUGACUCUCUGGCCCUCCUGGAGACUCUGUCAGCCCCCUGAGACCCCCCACUGAAUUCCUUUUCUGCUUUAAACUAGUUAGGGUGGGUUCUGUGUUCACAACUGAGACCCCAAGUGACACACAGACUGUCUGUAAUUAUUAAGUGGUUUAGGACCCUAUGCUCUGCGUGCCAUGUUAGUUACAGGUCAGGGGCAUUUACAAGUCAAGGGCAUUGAGGCAGGGGCCCUAGGAUAAGGGGGCAUGGCUGUCUCAAAGGCAACCUCCUCCACGCAGCCCUUCCUGAUGGCCGCUGGAGCCACCCCCUCCCUCCUCUGCCUGUCACCUUGCAGAUGCCUCUUAUUAGCACUUAGCAUGAUCUAUCACCUGGCCUGGGACAUGUUGUAGCCAAUUUCUCAUUCUGACUUUCCCCUCCAAUCUGUGCUCAUUUGGCUUUCAUGGAGCACCUACUGUGUGCUAAAGACGUAGACCACUUGCAAAGAGUUUGCAGUCUCCCCUGACAACCAGCCUGCAAGCAACAGCUGUAAGCAAAGGCCCUGGGAUGCUAGGUCGGCAGGAUGUUAGGUUCGCAGGGUGAUGCAAGGACUCAGUGCUGAGGCUUUGGGAUCAGACCGACCCAGAUGCAGAUUCCAGCUUGACCCUAGCUGGUGAUUUUUACUACAUUAUUUAAUCUCUUAAGCCUCAAUUUCCUCCUCUAUAAAAUAAAGUUAAUAAUGACUAACACAUAGAGCCAUUUUGAAAAUUACAUACAAUAACGUAUCUGAAGUAUUUGAGAGUGCCCGAAUCUUUCUAACGUUCAGUAAACGUGAUCACGAUUAACAACAGCAAGGAUGUCUGAGGCUGUCAGGAAAUCCUUCACGGAGGGGAAAAAAGCUAGUGUUAUUACUUAAAGGAAGCGUUCUUAAUCUAAGCAGUAAGGGGCACCUGCGCAUUUCGUUUCUUAGUCAACAAUUAUUCAUUUAAAAAAAUCAUUUCUUGUAACAUCCUGGGAUGAGGAGUAUCCUGUUUUGGUUCUUCUAUUUUGCAAACAGAGAAAAAUGUCAGAAGUUAAUUAGCUCAUUCAAGCAUACGCUAGUUUUGUUAUUUAUCCAGUAAAGGCUUCCGUGAGGAAAGACUCCGCAGAAGUCUGUACCAAAUACCUACUCCUAGCGAAGCCCUGUGGAAGACACUGACGUGCACAAGCACCAAACACACCCCUGUGCUCAAGGGGAGGGAGGCUGCUCAGAUAAGCCACAAUGCAGGCAGAAAAGGUGAAUGUUUGUCUCCCGGUGCUGAGCUGGAGGUAUAGGAAUAAAGAAGAGCUCAAGGCAAGAAGGAUGGUGGGAGAAGACAUCACCUAGGAGGUAAACUUUAAGGCUGGGCUUCAAAAAAUGAAUAGGAGUUGGACAGUGGGUACAGAAUGGUCAGGGCAGAAUGUCAGGAAGAAGAUGAGGCAUGAGUAAGGGGCCUGGUGGCGAGGACAAACCACACUCAUUCAGGAGUCCUCCAGCAAUCAAGUCCUCUCUGUGCAGAUCAUUCUCGUGGAGGACAUGUGGAAGAUAAGGAUUUGGGGACAAUUGCUAGAUUAAGGAGUCUGGAUUUCAUCACACAGACAACUAGCAGUCGCUGCAUGGUUCUGAUGAGAUUUUAGGAUGUAAGUAGACUUUAAUAGGAGAGCAGGAAGGGCGGCAUCGUGGAGGCAGGAAUUCAAACCAGAAGCCAUCGCCACGAUUCUGACAAAAUCAGCGUUGCUGUGGGAUUAAAAGGAAGCAGUGGAUCAGUUAUUUCAGGCAGGAGAGUAAAUCCAGUCCCUGUUACUCCAUCUUAGCUGGAAGCAGACUUGUGGUUACGUUUUUUGAAGUAUCCUUAUCUUUUAGAUCAACAUGCUCAGCUAUAUUCAGAAAGGACAUGACGUCUGAAAUUUGCUUCAACACAUUCCUGAAGUCAGAAAAUAUGUGGGCUAUAGAUGAAACCUCAUUGGCCACGUGUUGAUAACUGUUUGUCCUGCAUGAUGGGUACAACGGAGCUAAUCGUACUUUAAAAAAAAAACCUUUUGUAUGGGCCUGAAGUUUUAUAAAAGAUUUCAGCAUAAGGGUCUUAAUACCUGCCUAUCUCAUGGGUUUGUUGUGAGGAUUAAAUGUGGAAUUAAGGGUGAAGUGCUCAGCGCUAUGCUUAGAACUUAGUGAAGAGUAGCUGUUAAUACUUUGUUAAUAAUUGUAUGAAAGCAACCACUAAAGAUAUACAGAAGAAGUCUGAUUUUAAAACUUCCAUUAAAAACUGAUAAAAACCUUUGAACCAAGAACGAUUGCAGCAGUGGUCUCCGGGACAGUGGAGACUCAGCCUGGGCAUCAGCUCCGCUAGGGAGUCUCCCAAAGCCUCCGGAUGGGUUUGGCCCUUUUGUCUGAAUUGCCCUAGCACCCUGUUCCGUCCACUCUCAAAGCACCUAAAUAUGGCCUGAUAACUCACCAUUUAUUUGUCUGCCUCCAACCUCCUGACACCUCCUUACACUCCUCUCUGUAUCCUUGGGGAUACAUAUAGUGGGCACAUAGUGGAAGCUCAAAACAUGCUCGUUGAACUGGUUUACACCAUCUUCUCAGCUGCCCAUCUCUGUGACACUCUUCUCUGUACUCACUUUGUUCCUGCCUCUGUGUGCCGUGUGCCCUGGGUCGAUGCUUUCCUCUUGAGGGCCUUGGCAUUCAGUUUCUGCCUCUGUGCUACCUCAAGCUCACUACAAGAUGUGGGUAUCUUUUCAUCUUCAAUUAAUUGUAUUACCAUAAAACCCCGUGUCUCUCCAAUCCUUCUCCAAGUACCUCCUCCUGAGUGGUGGCUUGUUUGAGCCAGGCAGCCAGAGCUCACGGUGACAGUGAGGAGGCAGCAUCUAGAGGAGGGCACCGAGGGUGAGUGCAGCCCUGCACAGCCCUGCACAGCCCUGCUUUGAGACUAACCCAGAGCUCCACGUCCUCUUAGUCUGCAUACAGGUAGACCAAGAUGAAGUAUUCAGCCAAGAAGAGUGAAGAGCUUAGAACCACAGAAUGUUAGGACUGGGAGGGCCAUGGAGAUAAUCGAGCCUAGUAGUUUGUUCAAAUUUCCUUCCAAUGGAGAGUAACAUUCCUAGAAAAAAAACAAGCUUAUAUUUCCUACCCCUUUCCCAACAUGGAGCUAUUGUGGUUGAAAGGGUUGGAAGACACAGUCAUGCUCUCAUUCCCCUUGUGCACACCCUCUAACCACCAAACAUGUGCACACACACACACGCACGCAUACACACAUGCAAGCACGCACACACACACACACACACACACACAUACACACACACACACACCCCUUGGCAUCUGGAGGCAUCUCUGAAAAAUGCUUAGGUCACUGAGGAACAAGAACACAAUUUGAAAAUCCCUGACCAAGGUAAACAUUUUCACUUUGAGGAAAGUCACGCCAGGAUUUUGGGUCUGGGACUCAAAUCUCAGAAUUCCUGGUUUCUUUUCUUUCUCUUAAUUAAUCUACACUGCCAACCUCUGACGAAACCAACAAAACACUCCACAGACGUAUCUAUCAACUGGGUGUCAGAGCUGUAGAAAUCUCAGUGUGGAUCCAAUUUUGGUAGACCUGUUGCUGAAACAAUCACUGUUUUCAAGAACAAGUCAGAGGGAGGAUGGACUCGCAGAGCACAGAGGAUUUAUGGGGCAGUGAAAAUGCUCCGUGUGAUACUGUAAUGGUGGAUACGUGUCAUUAUACAUUUGACUAAACCCACAGAAUGUGCGUCACCAAGAACGAACCCUGAUGUAAACUGUGGACUUUGGGUGAUAAUGAUGUGUCAGUGUAGGUUUAUCUGUUGUAACAGGUGCACUACUCUGGUGGGCGAUGUUGAUAAUGGGGGGUUAUGCAUGUGUGGUGGGGGCAGGAAUCUAUGGGAAAUCUGUAUUUUCCUCUUAAUUUUUCUAUGAACCGAAAACUGCUCUAAAAAAAUUGUCUUAAAAAAUAAUGAAUCAGACGUCUUUCCAGCUUUUCUCAGAAAGAAAAGGCUGUAGGAUGUCCAGAUUGAGAUGUUGGAAAACCCAAAACAAUGAGAAAUACUUCUGCUAGGAAGCCUGGAAAACAUCAAAAUCCAUCUUGUGUGUGUGUGAAUGGUUUUACAGCACCAUCCAGUGGCACAAAAAAAUACUGUCACUAAAGUUCAAAAACAGGGAUUAGUCAUUUUUUCUUAAAAUUUCAUCAAUAAGUAUUUAUUUGAGAGCAUUUGAUAAGUGUAAAUGUGAAAGUUCUAAACUUAACAAGGAAAGAAAAGAAAUCGUGUGCUGAGGUUCCUAAGACCUGUGGUAACUUUUAUUACAGCAUUGUUAUAAUUGUUCCAUUUUAUUAUUAGCUAUUGUUGUUAAUCUCUUACUGUGCCUAGUUUAUAAGUUAAACUUUAUCGUAGGUAUGUAUGUAUAGGAAAAAACACAGUACCUAGAGUUUGGUGCUGUCCAAGGUUUCAGCCAUCCACUGGGGUCUUAGAAGGUAUCCCCCCUUGGAUAGGGGGGCACUGUUGUAUGAGUCUCAAUCUCCUCUUACAGGGACACGAGUCAUAUUGGAUUAGGACCCACCCUAAUGAGCUCAUUUCAACUUAAUUAUUUCCUUAAAGACCCUAUCUUCAAAUAGAGUCACAUUGAGAUACCGGAAUUUAGGACUUCAACAGAUGCAUUUUGGUUGGACACAGUUCAGCCCAUAACAGAUGGCACCGUACUUCUAAAAUGAAUAACUUGGCUGGGCAAGACAGGUUGGGUCUGAUCACAAGAUGAAGCUUCUUUGACCAUCCAUCCACCUGUUCUCAUCAGGAGACUGGACACAAUGGGCCACUCAGAAAAGAAUGACAGAUCCCUAGAUUCGAGAUGAUCAGCUGCUAGGGAGAACUGGAUAUGAGCAAAUUUGUGUGUGUGUCUGUGUGUGUGUAUGAAACUGGUAAACAGUUAGCCACUGAUGAUGAGAUAGCUAGUAACUAACGUGUUUUUUCUUUUUGUGAUUACUGAUUAUAGCUUUUAGUUGUUCACCCACUCACUGUUAGCUGUGCUGCUUAGGCAAUGUGCUAUCUGACUCCCACCAGGUCUCUAUAGAUAACAUCUCCCUCGCACCUGGGCCACCAUGGUAAUGGAUGUGUGAGCUGUUUUUCAGGAAUUAGAACCCCCUUGUCCAGUUGAGUCUGGCUGAGACCAUCAACCCAUCACCUGGGCCUGCACAGAUGCCUGAUAAGUGACCUUUUCAUGUCAAGAAGCUAAAAACUCCACCCUCAGAUCAUGUUAGUACCACCAUUUUGUGAACACGUGUCCUUUGAAAAGGCAUGAAGUCUGACUAUGCUUCUGUGGAUCAAUUCCUCACCUCUCCUCACCUCCAAUCGUCUGUCUCCACACUUCAGACCACCUUGCCCCCACCCUGUAAAUACCUCUGAGCCCCCAUUUUUGAGGAGACAGAUUUGAGACUCAUUCUCCUGCUUCCUCGCUUGGCUGCCUUAUGAUUAAACCUCUCUCUCCACUGCAAUGUUGUCGUCUCCCUGUUUGGCUUGUGGGUGAUGAGUAAAAACGAACCUGCUUU
ensembl:lncRNA